UACGUAGGGUGCAAGCGUUGUCCGGAAUUAUUGGGCGUAAAGGGCUCGUAGGCGGUCCAUCACGUCGGGAGUGAAAAGCUGGGGCUUAACCCCAGUCCUGCUUCCGAUACGGGUGGACUAGAGGUAGGUAGGGGAGAACGGAAUUCCUGGUGUAGCGGUGAAAUGCGCAGAUAUCAGGAGGAACACCGGUGGCGAAGGCGGUUCUCUGGGCAUGUCCUGACGCUGAGGAGCGAAAGUGUGGGGAGCGAACAGG
rnacentral:rRNA from 1 species